CGUCGACUAGCUCAGUUGGUCAGAGCGUCGAGCUAAUAACGCGAAGGUCUUGGGUUCGACCCCCAGGUUGGCCA